CUGCCAAAUAGCUAGCCUAAAUGAACUUAACAAAAAGCAAAUAUUUAUACCCCUUCAUAUAUCAAAUUUUUAUUAAACAAACCAUUUUUCCACUUUAGUAUGGGAGACAGAAAAAGAACUCCAGCGCAAUAGAGAAAGUACCGCGAGGGAACGCUGAAAGAGAAAUGAAAUAACCCAGUAACGCUUAACAAAGCAGAGACUUCACCUCGUACCUUUUGCAUCAUGAUCUAGCCAGAAACCCCCAAGCGAAGAGAACUUUAGUUUGAUACCCCGAAACUGGCGUGAGCUACUCCAAGACAGCCUAUUAAUAGGGCACACCCGUCUCUGUGGCAAAAGAGUGGGACGAGCUUUGAGUAGAGGUGACAGACCUAUCGAACCCAGUUAUAGCUGGUUGCCCAAGAAAUGGAUAGAAGUUCAGCCUCUCGGCUUCUUUAUUCACACUUGUUCUUACUUAAACAGAUAUAAGAGAAACCGAAAGAGUUAGUCAAAGGAGGUACAGCUCCUUUGAAAAAGGACACAACCUUAUCAGCAGGAUAAAGAUCAUAUUCUCAACAAAGUAUUUUAUUCUUGUGGGCCUAAUAGCAGCCAUCUAAAUAGAAAGCGUUAAAGCUCAAAUUUUCCCCCUCACUUCUUAUUCUGAUAUCAUAAUCUUAAUCCCCUGAAAUUAUUGGGCCGUUUCAUGCAUACAUGAAAGCGACCAUGCUAGAAUGAGUAAUAAGAGAAAUCCAGCCUCUCUCCUCGCACAAGUGUAAAUCGGAAUGGACACCCCGCCGAACAUUAAUCGCCCCCAAACAAAGAGGGCAUUGAACAAACAAAUCAAACAACUAGAAAAACAAUCAAAUUCAAGCGUUAACCCCACACUGGAGUGCUUUUUAGGAAAGACUAAAAGGAAAAGAAGGAACUCGGCAAACCCACAGCCUCGCCUGUUUACCAAAAACACCGCCUCUUGCAAAAACAAAAUAUAAGAGGUCCCGCCUGCCCUGUGACUAUACGUUUAACGGCCGCGGUAUCCUGACCGUGCAAAGGUAGCGCAAUCACUUGUCUUUUAAAUGGAGACCUGUAUGAAUGGCAUAACGAGGGCUUGACUGUCUCCUUUUCCAAGUCAAUGAAAUUGAUCUCCCCGUGCAGAAGCGGGGAUAAAAAUAUAAGACGAGAAGACCCUAUGGAGCUUUAGACACCAACGCAGAUCACGCUACUUACCCCGAAUAAAGAAUAAAGCCAAACUGACUCCUGCCCUAAUGUCUUUGGUUGGGGCGACCGCGGGGAAAUAGAGAACCCCCACGUGGAAUAGGAUUAUUUUCCUUAAAUCAAGAGCUACCGCUCUAAAUCAACAGAAAUUCUGACCAAACUAGAUCCGGCAAAGCCGAUCAACGGACCGAGUUACCCUAGGGAUAACAGCGCAAUCCCCUUUCAGAGCCCAUAUCGACAAGGGGGUUUACGACCUCGAUGUUGGAUCAGGACAUCCUAAUGGUGCAGCCGCUAUUAAGGGUUCGUUUGUUCAACGAUUAAAGUCCUACGUGAUCUGAGUUCAGACCGGAGUAAUCCAGGUCAGUUUCUAUCUAUAAUGUGAUCUUUUCUAGUACGAAAGGACCGAAGAGAAGAGGCCCAUACUUAAAGUACGCCUCCCCCUCACUUAAUGAAACCAAAUAAAUUAAACAAGAGGGCAUAAACCGUAUGCCCAAGAAAAUGGCAU
rnacentral:rRNA from 1 species